rnacentral:misc_RNA from 1 species
GAUGAAGAACGUAGCGAAAUGCGAUAAGUAAUGCGAAUUGCAGAAUUCAGUGAGUCAUCGAAUCUUUGAACGCACAUUGCGCCCUGUGGUAUUCCGCAGGGCAUGCCUGUUCGAGCGUCAUUUCAACCCUCAAGCUCUGCUUGGUGUUGGGCCCUGCCCGCUGCGGCCGGCCCUAAAGACAGUGGCGGUGCCGCCUGGCCCUGAGCGUAGUACAUCUCUCGCUCCAGUGCCCGGUGGUAGCCUGCCAGAACCCCAACUCUCGUGGUUGACCUCGGAUCAGGUAGGGAUACCCGCUGAACUUAAGCAUAUUAAUAAGCGGAGGA